UCCUUUAAGUCCCAAUUAAAAUCCUCUACAGGAAGCCUUUUCCAACUUCUCUUGACUCCAGUGCUUUGCCUCUUUUAAUUAUUUAUUUGUCCUAUAUAUAGCUCAUUUUUACCUAAUGAUUUGCUUGUUGUCCACCCCGCUGGAUUGUGAACUCCUUGAAGCAGGGAUAGUGUUUGUCUCUGAGUGCCAACACUCAGUACAGUGCCUAGGAUAUGGCCUAUAGGUAGAACAAUAAUUCUCAAAAUGUGUCUACUGGAUCUGUUUUUCAGCCUUCCAAAGGGUGAUCUAGUUCUGACAAUGCAUGUAUCCCCUUCAUCAUCUCUGUGUUCAUCCUUGGAAAGCGUACUGCCAAAUAAGUGAACUUAUCCACAGUAUUAAAAAUUACUUCCUUUGCUUUAACUGUUGGUUUGACAUGCAGAUGGUGUUGUUCUGGCUGGUUUUCUUGGUGUUGUGAAGCUAAAAUCCCAGAAGAAGGAAAUGAUGCAGACUCAAAUGUUGUUGUUUCUCAGCAAGAGAUACUGCACUGAAUGCACAAUCAUCUGGGAACAAAAAGUUGUUGAUCAUCUCUCUCUCUCUCCACUUUAGUCUUGGAUUGUGGGCUUUUCAAAUUAAUUUACAGUCAAGGAGGUAACUGUUUUCAUUCUCAUUGAAGAUGUCUGAUAAGAUUUAGAAAAACUUCAUGCUAAAAAGCCUGGGAGCAUGCACACAGCCCUGCUUCACUCCUCUGGUGACUGGGAAAGUGUGAGAGCAUAAUCCAGAAACUGCAAGCGUGCCAUCAUAGAUCUCGCACACACACUAAUGGACUUCUUCAGGCAACCAGCCCAGAUUCUUACUAGCUAUUGACUCUAGAUAAGGAGAAAAAUGGUGAAGCUUCUCACUCAAAAUCACACUGGCAGUAACCAAGAAAGUCAACAUUUGAAUCCAGAUCUUCUGACUCCUACGAAGACCAGAUGUACUACACUGCAAAGGUCAGUUUCCCUGGACACAACUUCUGGUACCAAAUAGCAAUCAGAGGUGUUCAGCUACUGGCAGGGUGGAAAUGGAGAGGAGGACACAGACUAGGCUAUGGAUUGGCCUUCAGGGCACAAAACUAGUAGCAUUUGGGGGAGUGGAGGGUUUUUGGAGCUGGCAAAUGCUUGGACAAGAUUCUCUGAGAUAGUUCUCUAUGACCCCCGGGGCCAGCUGCACCCUAUUCAAGUGGAUACAGUCUGACCAGGAGACAAUGUACUAACUUACCUGUCUGCUUAAGGAGAGAAUGAGGCCUCUGCUGAAACAUGUAGUCUGGAAAAACAGGAAAAAUAACCUCCUUUGGUGUUGCAAUAGGUCCAUUUCCGGACUUUCCCCGGAAGGGUUAAUUCGCACAGGAUUCUAGGAAUUAGAGUUUGGUGCACCAAAGAUUGUUCUGCUAAAACUCAGUCAGGUGAGGGCCAAGGACACUGAGUAAAGAGAGCAUUUACAAUGUUAAUCUGUGUUUCUCCCCAAGGGCAAAAAUGUGUUACCAGGCAACAAAGGAGAAUGAUUUUUACCUUCUCUUGCUCAUACUUCUUCAUGAAUAAAUUAAUGUUGCAAUCUCUUUUACCCCUACUCCCAGAUCUCCCCCCUCCCUCUCUCUGUCUGUCUCUCUCUCUCUCUCUCUGUCUCUGUCUGUCUUUCUCUAUCUGUCUCUGUCUCUCUGUCUCUGUCUCUGUCUGUUUCUGUCUGUCUGUCUGUCUGUCUCUCUCUUUCUCUCUCCCCCUUACCUGUGUGUGUAGUUUUUUGUUUUUUUUUUUUGACCUGGGACUGGGAAGUGGAUAGGGGGAAAGGAGACAGAAUAUCUUCUACUAUAUCCUCCACUUUUUUGUUUUGUUUGAAUUAGUCUUGCUAAAGAGGUUCUAAUUUCUGUUUUUUUUUUUACCCCCUAUGCUUCUGAAGGACUGGAAUGAUUGUCAGUCAUCUAAAUAUGGCACCCUGGAGCAAAAUUCUGGCUGCUCCACCAUAAUUAUAUCUUUGACUGUGAUCAACAGUCUGAAUAUUUCUGAAUCUAAUUAAAGUGGGCCUUAUAUUAUAUGAUAUUAAUUCAUUGUUUGAUCAACUCUCAAAACGUUUUCAGUUUAGCAGGAUUUGUCAAAGCUUAUACUCCAUUAGCACAGACUUACGGAGCCAGAGUUAAUGCUACAAUAAUUUGAUUGGUCAGAGAUAGUCUUUGCCCUUCAAGGUUCUUUCUAACUGAGACUGUGAUUCUCUGACUUUAGAGGAGAAAACAUCUCUCUAAAUAUUAAUAUUCUCAUAUAAAACGGAAAAGUGGAAUAUCCAGGAUUCAAACUGAGGUCUUUUGAGCCCAAGAUAAAUGCUCUUUCUAUUAUGAACCAAUUUACAGUAACAAUAAUAAUUCCAUUGCUGGAGAUCAGGAUGGGUGAUGUUGAAAGGCAAGAAUGUUGAGACAUAAGAGAAAGGACUAAUGAUUUGGAGUCAGGACAAGCUGAAUUCAAUUUCUUUUUAGAUCCUGUGUGACCUCAAGCAUAUCACUUAAAAGGCCCUUGACCAUUUUCUCACCCGGCCAGAGAAAGGUUUGGAUAUGAUUUUUCUAAAGUUCCUUCUAGGUAUAAAUCUAUGAGUUCCUGAAAAGAAUUCAUUUCAAAUGGAGUCAUGGGGUAGGGGGAGAGGCAAGAUGGCAGAGAAGACACACUGACCUACCUGAUCUCAAACAACUUUGAUAUAACAUCUCAAAAUGAAUUCUGGAGCAACAGAAUCCACAAGCAGCUGGGGUGAAACAAUUUUUCAGACCAAAGAUAACUUAGAAAGUCUACAGGAGGAGUCUGUAGCAACAUGGUGGCAGUGGGCACAGAGCAGCUUGCCAAGUCAAGACCACACCUCAGGAAAGCAGCACAGUCCUUGAGGGCUGCUAAAUCAGCAGCAAAGGCUUCUGGAACUCUCAGCCACAGAUGGAAAGGAGGUCCAACAAUUGAUCAUAAGGAGAUUAUAGGGGUUCCUGUGCUGGCUCUGGGUGCAGGACUCUAUUGGAUUGCCCAUACACAGAUCCAAGUCACAAUAGUCUAAAUAGCAGUCCAGGAAAAGGAGGAACACCAGCAUACACCAGUUCUUGCAACUGCAGGGGAGCAGUGAACCACGGUCACAGUUCCAAGAUAGAGAAGAGCAUAAGCCAGGUGAGUAUUAAGCAUAACUCUCCUUAAAUCAUACCACCUUGGAAGAAAAAUAAUUAUAGAACCCCAGAGCUAGCUCUGAAGGUAACUGUACAAAGAAUCUGAAGAUUAGAUUAGUUCCCCCUUCACAACAGGAAUGGAACUUUCUUGUAGCAAUUUUUUAAAAUUAAAAAAUAACACAAGAAAAAAAGGAUAGAAAAUGAGCAAACAUCAACAACAAAAUAUAGAAGGUCAUUCUGGUGACAGAGAAGAUCAAAGCACCAACUCAGAAGAAGAGAACAAAAUUAAUACUGCUACAUUCGUAGCCUCCAGAAUAAUAUGAAUUGGUCUCAAACCCAAAAAAUAUUUCCUGGAGGAGAUCAAAAGGAAUUAAAAAAAUCAAAUAAGAGACAUAGAAGAAAAAGUAGGGAAAAAUGAGAGUGAUAUAGGAAAAUCAUGAAAAGGGUGUUAACAACUUAGUAAAGGAGUCACAAAAAUACUAAAGAAAAUAUAACUUUAAAAAACAGAAUACAACAAUUGAUAAAAGAAGCACAAAAAUCCUCAGAGAAGAACUUUUUAAAAAGCAGAAUUGGCCAAAUGGAAAAAGAGGUCAAAAUAGAAUUGGUUAAAUGGAAAAGGAGAUACAAAAGCUUGUUCAAGAAAAUACUUGUUUAGAAGUAGAAUUGAAUCUAAACUGGCACUAGAAGACUCCUAAGAGGCAGAGGUAGGAAAAAGGAUGUUCCAGAGAAAACUUGAGCAAAGGAGAAGCAGGGGACAUGUUAGACAAGCCAGGUAUCUUUCUAGGUUGAAGUAUAGGAUAUUAUAU